rnacentral:rRNA from 1 species
CCUACGGGGGGCUGCAGUAACGAAUCUUCCGCAAUGCACGAAAGUGUGACGGAGCGACGCCGCGUGCGGGACGAAGCCCCUCGGGGUGUAAACCGCUGUCAGGGGCAGCCAAGAUCUGAGGCGCCCCAGAGGAAGGCACGGCUAACUCUGUGCCAGCAGCCGCGGUAAGACAGAGGUGCCGAGCGUUAGGCGGAAUCACUGGGCUUAAAGCGUGUGUAGGCGGGCCGUUAAGUGCCCCGUGAAAUCCCCCGGCUCAACCGGGGAACCGCGGGACAUACUGGCGGCCUCGAGCGGCCUAGGGGCCACCGGAACAAGUGGUGGAGCGGUGAAAUGCGUAGAUAUCACUUGGAACGCCCGCGGCGAAAGCGGGUGGCUGGGGGCCGGCUGACGCUGAGACACGAAAGCCAGGGGAGCGAACGGGAUUAGAUACCCUUGUAGUC